GCGUCGGUGGUGCAACGGUUCAGUACGCGCUCCAGCAAAGAGUGAGAUCUGGGCUCGAAUCCCGGCUGACGCA